UGAAAGGAGGGAACACAGCACAGUUAAACCAGUUGGAUAUCAGUCAGGGAGAGAAUGGCAGUGUUAUUUCAUAGGAAAGAUGAAGGUGUUCUUCCAGAUAGCAGUAGACAGUGUACAUCCGCCCUGACUCAUUUCGGCUAUGCGCCACGGAUCCGGCCCGCCUCCAGAGAGUGCACAGCAGACUCAAUGCUGACACCGGGCGGAUCCGCACACCGGACUCGCCUUUUCCCUCAACAGUUCAAAUAUUUAACGGCUGAGUCGCAUUUGCUGAUCGUUCCCUCAUCCUCUCAUUGUGAGGACACUUAAGAUACAAACAAGUUAAGGAUGUUCCACAUAAUGGAGUCGGUGUCACCUUUUGGCCAAACUACAAAAAUGAUGAAAGAGUCGACAGGGCAGUAAAGGAAAGCUGAGGAGCCUGGACCUGACUGGCAAAGCUAUGAUGUCAGAGUUGUUAAGUCAUGUGUGAGGAGGAAAGUCCUCUAAAAAAGAGAGCCAGAGGUCCAGCUAAACCCUCACCACAGCCACCUAUUAUCCCACCCCCACCUCGCUGUGUGCCAAGUAGCGUGACAGUUGCCCUUCCUCCACCCGUUGCUCCUCCUUCACCCACUCCACCAGCAGUAGAGCAAACCCCUUCUUCAAGCCAGGUAUACAGACCUACCUGGCGAGGGGGAAGGUGUGGAUCAGACACCAUGACCUGUUCGGAGGCAGAAGUCCAUAUUAGGAACUUACUGGAGUAUAUAAAACACCAGCAAGAGCAAUUAAUUGCCAAAGUGAACUAUCUGACCAGCAAGAACCCAGCUGGCCAAGAAAUGGAAAGGCCUGUCCCUGUACAGUUUGUAAUGCACUACAAUUAGGCUCAAAAUGUUGUGCUCAUAUAGGAUGACAUCUCCCUUGGGUCUUGAGAAGAAAACAUUUCCUCCCAUGACACAAAACGUGUGACAUGGAACAUCCUUGCCCAAAGGGAUAAAUGGGAAAAAGUCUUUCAGCCAGAUGGCAUCGAAGACGUUGCUCCUGAGUAAGCAAUUGUUACUGUUUACAUUAAAAUUGUUGGUAGACAUUACUCGUCUAUAAAUUUACAUAGACAAUAGUUGAUGAUGAUAUAUUAAUGCUCUGAAUAUUGUAUAGAGAACCUUUACAUGUCAGAAAGCAGCUUUUCAGUCUAAAAGCUAGUGGUAAUGUGUAUCCUUUUAAAACAUAAAAACUAGUGGUUACAA